UUUCCGUAGGUGAACCUGCGGAAGGAUCAUUGAAUCGAUCGAAUCCACAACGGUGACCUUUAAACGUGAGUCCCUCCACUUGGCCCUCACGGGUCGAUUGGGCGUCGAUUGGACUUUAGCAGUCCCACAGUGACGGGGUUCAUACUGACUGGAGCCAGUCGGCGGGUUGAUCGCUUUGCCGAUCGAUUGGGCGGGGUUUACCCCAGUACUUUACCUUUCACCCAAACCUAAAAACAACAAACUGAAGCAAUUGCAAUCAGCUCUGCUGGCUGCUAUUAACUGACAAACUCUCAACAACGGAUAUCUUGGCUCCC
rnacentral:misc_RNA from 1 species